CCCUCGAUAGCUCAGUUGGAAGAGCGAGAGACUGUAAUUGGCUAUUGGGAUAAACAACUUUCGCGGGUUGAUCGUCUGAAACAAGCAUCUCUAGGUCACUGGUUCGAUCCCGGUUCGAGGGA
rnacentral:tRNA from 1 species